GAUGAACGCUGGCGGCGUGCUUAACACAUGCAAGUCGAACGGAGUUGAUUUAAGGAAGCAAGCUUGCUUGAAGAAUUGAAUUAACUUAGUGGCGGACGGGCGAGUAACACGUGAGCAACCUACCUCUUACAGGGGAAUAACAACGGGAAACCGUUGCUAAUACCGCAUGAUAUGUGCUGAAGGCAUCUUUGGCACAUCAAAAGAGCAAUCUGGUGGGAGAUGGGCUCGCGUCUGAUUAGCUAGUUGGUAAGGUAACGGCCUACCAAGGCGACGAUCAGUAGCCGGACUGAGAGGUCGGACGGCCGCAUUGGGACUGAGACACGGCCCAGACUCCUACGGGAGGCAGCAGUGGGGAAUAUUGGGCAAUGGGCGAAAGCCUGACCCAGCAACGCCGCGUGAAUGAUGAAGGCCUUCGGGUUGUAAAAUUCUUUGGACAGGGACGAAGAAAGUGACGUACC
rnacentral:rRNA from 1 species